rnacentral:sRNA from 1 species
UGAACUGCCGUAGACAGCAGGUGCCGCAAGGCGUAAUGAGUUUGACUCCCCUGCCGAGGAAAGAAUCGUUAUUGACUUUGAUCAAUUAUGACUUUUUUAUCCCAUACGGUUGUAUGGGAUUUUUCUUUUU